AUGAACGCUAGCUACAGGCUUAACACAUGCAAGUCGAGGGGCAUCAGGAAGAAAGCUUGCUUUCUUUGCUGGCGACCGGCGCACGGGUGAGUAACACGUAUCCAACCUGCCCUUUACUCGGGGAUAGCCUUUCGAAAGAAAGAUUAAUACCCGAUAGCAUAAUGAUUCCGCAUGGUUUCAUUAUUAAAGGAUUCCGGUAAAGGAUGGGGAUGCGUUCCAUUAGGUUGUUGGUGAGGUAACGGCUCACCAAGCCUUCGAUGGAUAGGGGUUCUGAGAGGAAGGUCCCCCACAUUGGAACUGAGACACGGUCCAAACUCCUACGGGAGGCAGCAGUGAGGAAUAUUGGUCAAUGGGCGCUAGCCUGAACCAGCCAAGUAGCGUGAAGGAUGAAGGCUCUAUGGGUCGUAAACUUCUUUUAUAUAAGAAUAAAGUGCAGUAUGUAUACUGUUUUGUAUGUAUUAUAUGAAUAAGGAUCGGCUAACUCCGUGCCAGCAGCCGCGGUAAUACGGAGGAUCCGAGCGUUAUCCGGAUUUAUUGGGUUUAAAGGGAGCGUAGGUGGACUGGUAAGUCAGUUGUGAAAGUUUGCGGCUCAACCGUAAAAUUGCAGUUGAUACUGUCAGUCUUGAGUACAGUAGAGGUGGGCGGAAUUCGUGGUGUAGCGGUGAAAUGCUUAGAUAUCACGAAGAACUCCGAUUGCGAAGGCAGCUCACUGGACUGCAACUGACACUGAUGCUCGAAAGUGUGGGUAUCAAACAGGAUUAGAUACCCUGGUAGUCCACACAGUAAACGAUGAAUACUCGCUGUUUGCGAUAUACAGUAAGCGGCCAAGCGAAAGCAUUAAGUAUUCCACCUGGGGAGUACGCCGGCAACGGUGAAACUCAAAGGAAUUGACGGGGGCCCGCACAAGCGGAGGAACAUGUGGUUUAAUUCGAUGAUACGCGAGGAACCUUACCCGGGCUUAAAUUGCAGUGGAAUGAUGUGGAAACAUGUCAGUGAGCAAUCACCGCUGUGAAGGUGCUGCAUGGUUGUCGUCAGCUCGUGCCGUGAGGUGUCGGCUUAAGUGCCAUAACGAGCGCAACCCUUAUCUUUAGUUACUAACAGGUUAUGCUGAGGACUCUAGAGAGACUGCCGUCGUAAGAUGUGAGGAAGGUGGGGAUGACGUCAAAUCAGCACGGCCCUUACGUCCGGGGCUACACACGUGUUACAAUGGGGGGUACAGAAGGCAGCUAGCGGGUGACCGUAUGCUAAUCCCAAAAGCCUCUCUCAGUUCGGAUCGAAGUCUGCAACCCGACUUCGUGAAGCUGGAUUCGCUAGUAAUCGCGCAUCAGCCACGGCGCGGUGAAUACGUUCCCGGGCCUUGUACACACCGCCCGUCAAGCCAUGGGAGCCGGGGGUACCUGAAGUACGUAACCGCAAGGAUCGUCCUAGGGUAAAACUGGUGACUGGGGCU
rnacentral:rRNA from 1 species